rnacentral:rRNA from 1 species
UUUAAACGGGAAGAACCUUCCCCCCCUUUGACAUGGCAGGAACUUACCAGAGAUGGUUUGGUCCUUGAAAGAGAACCUGCACACAGGUGCAGCAUGGUUGUCGUCAGCUGGUGUGGGGAGAUGGGGGGUUAACUCCCGCAAGGAGCGCACCCUUUCCCAUUAGUUGCUACAUUCAGUUGGGCACUCUAAUGGGACUGCCGGUGACAAACCGGAGGAAGGUGGGGAUGACGUCAAGUCCUCAUGGCCCUUAUGGGUGGGGCUACACACGUCAUACAAUGGCUGGUACAAAGGGUUGCCAACCCGCGAGGGGGAGCUAAUCCCAUAAAGCCGGUCUUAGUCCGGAUUGCAGUCUGCAACUCGACUGCGUGAAGUCGGAAUCUCUAGUAUAGGGGGGGCUGUCGGCGCGGGCCCCC